UAGUGCAAUGUGUAGUUAAUUGCAUUUGUAUUUGAAAAAAUCAUUACCCUUGCAUAUUCUUAAAAUUUUAGUUUGUCAGCAUUCCCUUGGUAUUCCCUUUCAGUUUCUUCUCUUAGGCUUCUAAGAAGGUUCAGGGUUACCUUUUUCGAAUAACCUAGAUAACAUCUACCGUGGUGCAAACUGACGGGGGAAGCUAAAUAUGUUUGGCUGACUAUGCAGAUAUUUUUCUGACCUUAUUUUCAUUCAAGAACUGGCUCUGCUCUUUACCACUAAGAAAUGUGGAGCGACAAGGUAAUCAUUAUUUUUAUUAGGAAUUUGACAGAAAUGCUGCGAGAAAUAAAAUAUAUAUAUAUAUAUAUAUAUAUAUAUAUAUUAGCAUAUAUUUCUACAGUAUACAUAUUUUGUCAUGACUGCUGGGUGAUCGAUGGCUGUGUGUGGGAUAUGUGUGUGUGUGUGUUUGUUUACCUGUGGUGCCGGUUCCUCGUGUGUUCACUAACUCCGCCCCCUUGUUUCGAUGAUUGUUCACCGGUGGUGUCUCGUUUACCUUUUCCUUUAUAUUGCACGUAGUCCUGUCUUUCGUUGCGCGCUAAUUUGUUUUAUCACAGUCUUGCUGCUCUGCCUUGUCUUGUCGGACGCUUCCUUGUUUUUCUUCUCUAGUUACCCCAGGUUUGGAUUACGGCAUCCGGAGGCUCGUUUUCGCCCGGACCGCUCGCUUGUGGAUUACUGGAACUGAUUGACUUUGUUUAUCUCUCGGAACAGCUGGUUCGCUUCGUUUUUAGGCGGUACACCAGCUGUCUCUGCUUUCCAUCGGCUUACACCAUCACCCCUGGUUCGCUUCGUUACUAGGCGGUACACCAGUUACUUCCGGGUUGCUUCAUCUACAUCAGGAUUCCACAGUGGAUUACUCCAUCUGAGAACGUUGGAUUUUCCACCUUCCAUCUCCGGCCGUCAUCCGCCUUCAGGGCGGCGUGUAUCAUCCCUCUGUAGCGUGUGGUGACGGCGCUGGUGUUCUCAACGGAGAGCGUGGGUGGCUCUCUCUCUCUUCAGAUCAGUAUUGGACUAUCUUGUAGCGCCGACUCACUCUCUCCUACUGUUGGACGUGCUUCAUGCCAGCAGUAGUGAUUCCAUCCAGAGUGAGUCGAGGGUGUAUGCCGUGUGUGGAUAUUACCAGUGACUUUGCACUCCAACUCUCUAAUUCUCUAUUAUUCUAAAUAAACUCUGUUUAACUUGCA